rnacentral:rRNA from 1 species
UACGUAGGGGCAAGCGUUGUCCGGAUUUAUUGGGCGUAAAGAGCGUGUAGGCGGCCUGAAAGGUCAGCUGUGAAAACUCGAGGCUCAACCUCGAGACGUCGGUUGAAACCAUCUGGCUAGAGUCCGGAAGAGGAGAGUGGAAUUCCCGGUGUAGCGGUGAAAUGCGCAGAUAUCGGGAAGAACACCCGUGGCGAAGGCGGCUCUCUGGGACGGUACUGACGCUGAGACGCGAAAGCGUGGGGAGCGAACGAGGA